rnacentral:rRNA from 1 species
GGGGAAUUUUGGACAAUGGGCGAAAGCCUGAUCCAGCCAUGCCGCGUGAGUGAAGAAGGCCUUCGGGUUGUAAAGCUCUUUCAGGUGGAAAGAAAACUUCCGGGUGAAUACCCCGGGAGGCUGACGGUACCAUCAGAAGAAGCACCGGCUAACUACGUGCCAGCAGCCGCGGUAAUACGUAGGGUGCGAGCGUUAAUCGGAAUUACUGGGCGUAAAGCGUGCGCAGGCGGUUAUGUAAGACAGAUGUGAAAUCCCCGGGCUCAACCUGGGAACUGCGUUUGUGACUGCAUAACUAGAGUACGGCAGAGGGAGGUGGAAUUCCGCGUGUAGCAGUGAAAUGCGUAGAUAUGCGGAGGAACACCGAUGGCGAAGGCAGCCUCCUGGGCCAGUACUGACGCUCAUGCACGAAAGCGUGGGGAGCAAAC